rnacentral:lncRNA from 1 species
AUAAAAGAAAGCGGAUGGGGGCCUUUAUUUGAUUUGAGUAGAGGUAACGAGAGAGCAAGAAGCUUGAUGGAAUGGGCCGAGCCAAAUGAGCGAGCCCUGACAUGAGGAAUACGACUUCCUAUUCGAUUUUUCUGGUCAAGUGGACGAAAAGAGCGAGUCUAGUAUUUUUUCCAACUCCCAUUUGUGUUUUAGUUCUAUUGGGUGUACAUUCAGAGAUGACGGAGUUUCCAGUUAUGCCAAAGAGCUCUGUGACAUUUCAUCUUAGAGAGCAAGUAGAAUAUCUCCUUGUUACUGAUGGGGAAUUAUUGGUUAGCCCUAAAGAGAUAGACGUGAUAGGGUUUGCUGCCCGAAUUAAGGUAGUUCGGACCCAGGUAGACUAUGAAUCAAUCCUCUGCUCCACUCAACACCUCUGAAGCAAUGAGAAAUCCACUUGGCGCCAAUGCUACGAAUCUUCCACUGGCCUCCAUUAUUGAUGCCGGCUAUGAAGGCUCUUCUGGAUCUCCAACUGGUACAAAAGAAGCUAUGUCUCCAGCUCUGCUCUCUAUCGGUAGUCCAAUCCGUACUUUGUCAUUACCUGUCUCUGUCCAUGCCCUAACACUCGGGAAGCUCUCCAACAACAACGGAAAGGGUCCGCACUCUACUCAGGGAAGAGCAAAAUCAAUACAAAUCCAAAUCUCCAAGUAUUAAGAUCAAGAGUCUCGUUCCGCUGCUCUUAUGAUAGUGACGAAACUCGCUCAGAACUUCAUUAUUAUAGGAGAAGUAAUAGCUACAUUGAAGUCAACGCAAGCACUGGAGGAACAGUGUUUUCUCAUAAAGGGUUUCGACAAGCAAAUACUACAAAUCUUCGUCUUCCAAUUGAAAGAUUUAAGUAAUAACUCAGAUAAGUCAUACCUACUAGUAAGGCAGAGCUACUAUCAACUCAUAUAAGCUGGUAGGAUUAAUAACUUACAUGCUAUCGGUCCCUUACUCUCUCUCUCGCCUUCCUCCGAAUAGGGCUUAACUUUAGAUUAGAAUAGGCUCAUUCUUUGACAGAUUAGUCAGAUAUAUGAACCUUUGUGCUCCAACUUUGAGUCUUCCCUAUGUCUGGUCUGGAUGGCAUUUUCUUCUUCCAAAGGGGGGUCGCUCCAAUGGUGCAAUUUCUUUCUAGUGCUAUUUGGAAGUUCGAAUAAGCAGAUUUGGCGAUUCUCUUGGUUCCUGAUUGAGAUCUCCCUAUAGUAAGUUGUAUAGGUUUGGGAAAUCCAUUUGCCAUGGUCUGGUCUAACUCUAUAGAUUUGUGAUGAACUGGAAAGAAAGAGAGAAGAGGAGCUUUAUCUGAUCUCGAAAUCAGUCUUGGACAGGCCAAUCACGAAAGAAGCACACAAAAGAAGCACACAAAAGGCAUAGAAAGACUCACAUUGGCGGAUUCCGGGAAUUUCCCUUGCUUUCCAGAGAAGUCGAAGAAUCACUAUUAGCUGAAAAAGUAUAGAAUAUGGAUCCCACCUGUCACGAAAGCUAUAGAAAAGACAUCCCUUGAAUACACAAACCGAAUCAUAUCAUGGACAAGGAAGGGGCAAGGAAUUAGGGUUUAUAGAAGCACAACUGGAAACUGGUGCUAAUAAGAAUGGAACAAAGUAGUAUAAGCCUAUGAAACCCGGACCCAAGACUCAUAGUUAUUGCUGUAGUGAUAAGGAUGAAACCAGCUCCUAUGGAAUGAAACCGCCGCUAACAAGGAUUGAACGGGGACACCUAAGUCUGACUUACUUACAUCUAAAUCGAACUUUCCUUGCUUUCGUUCUUACUUUCAUGCAUCUUAUUCUGAAAUUGAUUACUUGAGCUCUGUAACUAAUGUCUGGUACCCUUCCUUCUGAGAUUGAGCCUACCUCUCUUAGUAGUAGUUGAAGUAUGAUCCCUAUACUAAUAAGCUCUUAUACGUAGUUGAAGUAUGAUCCCUAUACUAAUAAGAAGAAAAACACAGAAUUGGGAAUUUCUCCACUAAGUGGAAGAUCGAAGCACUGCACUAUAGAAUUGAACUGUGCCCCACAAAUCCUGACUUCGCUAACUAGCAAUUGAACCACUGCCUGACAAGCAAGAAGAAAACUAGGCGCUAACGGGACGAAACCGCGACAUAUAGAAUUGCACCUAGCUGCCCGAGCCUUACUUACUACCAGGAAGCUCAUAACUCAUAGUAUACCUUGUCAUUUUGCUAUUAAUUACUAUUAUUCUAUUACUUAUACUCUAUUACCUAGUAGUUUGUCUGUAUUACUUAGUUGUGUGUCUGCUUGUUAGUGACUUGGCGACUGAACAUUCGCACAACCAUAGAAAAUGAAAUGAGAAAAAUAACCACUGUUUUUGAGAAAAAGUAGAGCUGGGUUUUGCUCUAAUUACUAGAAGAAACCCAGUGGAAUUACUAUAAGCAAACUCAUAGCAAAUAUGAUAUGAAAAACCUAUUGCCUAUAGUAUGAGAAUGAAUUAGAACAAUAAGAAUAAGAGGUAUGUUAUGUCGAACAAUAAGAAUAAGAGAUAUAGUUCUUGAAGGUAAGUUUCGAGGUAUAGCUCUGGAAGGUCAGUUUCAAGUAAGUAUAAUAAACAAAGAAUAGAGAUGUGACUUAACGAAUAGGUAUGUUACGCCACCGACAUAUAAAUCAAAAAGGAAUAACCAUUGUACUUUUGAGACCACGGUUCCCUAAGAAAAUACAGUCAAAUAAUAAUCAAUCCUAUAUAAGUGAACUGUAAUAAUCAAUCCUAUAUAAGUGAACUGAAUGUAUGCUACUAAUUACCUCAAUGCCUUAUGCUCGAGAUCUGGGCUGACACCCGGAACCACCCACUCCUUAUUUCACCUAUGAGCUUGCCUUGUUCUUAUAUGAGAAUUGGGUCAAGUCGGACUAAAAGCAUGGAGUUGAAGAACCCGAGUUGUAAGUUGAAGAGCGAAAGAAGGGAUAUUGUUUUCAGGUAAGGCGGGGCUUGGACUUACCACAGUGAAAUUCUGAUAAGUAUAUUCAUAUUCUUUAUUAGAUGCAGUUUUCUUAGAAGCUGUAGUGAGAGUAUGAUAUCGAAUACUCCAUGCCUUACGCUUACCCUUACGUAGUUGCUUGUCUAUACGCUGCUUGUAGAGUUUCAGUCUCCUCCCUGACUUCGUCAGUUCACUCUUUUACCGUUAAGGACGAUUAUGCCUUCCUAGGGGAACUUAGCAUUCCUUAGACUACCAACCCUAAUGCUGUUACUCAUAGAUUGAGUUCCCAUGCUACUGAGUUUCAUUAUAUUACUUACUAUAUUACUUACUUGACUUACUUGCUCGAUCCUUGUACUGAACCUAAUAAGUUCAUUUCUUAGCCAGGGUACACUUACCUUAUAGCGAAACAACAGAUCUAUUGUUCAAGAGAAAACAACUUGCUGUUUUUAGACGGAGUUUCCUUCAUAAACCACUCAUCAAUAUUAGAUAAAUGAACUUUCAAUACAAUUAAGAGAAUUAAUAAAUAAGGGAAUGUUUGAAUUAAGAGAAUUCAUAAAUAGGGAAUGUUUGAACAAUCAAUUAAAUAAAGAAGAAUUACAAACAUGGAUAACAGUUUGGAAGCAGUACUCAUAAGAGAAUGAAAAAACUAACAAACAAAUAAGAGAAUGAAAAGAACAACUACAAGAGCGAAAGCCAGGAGAGAGGCGGGCCAAGAUACAGGAAAGGCUGAGUGAGAGUUGAGCUAAAGAAAGAAAGUCAGAAUGGGUAAACUCAUAUCCGAGGGCGUGGUGCAGAGUUCCCAACCCUGUUUUCAGAAGGUAGUAAGCUUAGAGCUAGUAGUUGCUUGUCAAGUGCAAUUCCUU